AUCCGUUAAAAGGUUGUACUAGUUAACCACCAAAAUUCUCAGAACAAAAAAAAAUACAGGUCAUGACGAAACCUGAAGGAAAAGUGUUAUGAAUGUUGCAAGGCCUUAAAGGUGUUGAAACUAGCUACUGCCGUGGAAACAAAGAGAAGCUGACAAGCUGAAGAGGCAAAUUUAUGGCGUGUUAUUUACUUCUUCUCUGGUCUUAGAACUAAACUCUGUUUUUCUCUUCCUCAUCCUCACUAAUGAUAAAACAAAAACCCUGAAGAUUUUUUGAAAAUAUGAAAGUAUUAUUGCGAAAAUAUUAUAGAUCAAAACAGAAAAUAUGAAGAGCUUUCGAAAAUAUGAAGGUAUCAAUCUUAGAACCCUCCUCCUCUUCCCAAGGAUCGAGUUCAUGGAGAACCAUUUGUUGCAAACCCAUCGAAAGAUGCUGAAAUGGACAAGAUCUUGAGAUCUAUGCAGGUGAAAUAUGAUGACUUCAAUCAAUUGUUGUCCGACAGUUCUGGAACGCCAGUAGGCUUAUUUGCUGCAAGCAAACAAAGAAUCUUCUUUACCAGAUCCUUUUCCGUAAUCUUCAUGUCUACCACAUUAAUAGCUAGACUUGAGUGUGUAUUAUUUAGUGCUAGUGUUUUGUCAUAUGUAGAGCAAUAGCCUUCCACACAGUGUUUCCUUUUGCAAUCAAAUAACGAACACUGAUUUUCAUA